UGGGGACACUAAGAGACAUGGGGACACUGGGCGACUUUGAGACCAGUGUCCCCAUGUCUCUUAGUGUCCCCAUGUCCC